rnacentral:rRNA from 1 species
CCCUUAGAUGUCCUGGGCUGCACGCGCGCUACACUGAUGUGUCCAGUAAGCACCUAACCUCUUCCGAAAGGAACGGGUAACCUUUGCAACGCACAUCGUGAUGGGGAUAGAUUAUUGCAAUUAUUAGUCUUGAACGAGGAAUUCCUAGUAAGCACAAGUCAUCAGCUUGUGUUGAUUACGUCCCUGCCCUUUGUACACACCGCCCGUCGCUCCUACCGAUUGAAUGUUCCGGUGAGCUCUUCGGACUGCGCGGUCUGCAGUUUCUGCGUUCCGUGCGGAAAGUUGCGCAAACCUUAACAUUUAGAGGAAGGAGAAGUCGUAACA